rnacentral:ncRNA from 1 species
UGUUCGGGGCCGCACGCGCGCUACACUGACCGGAUCAGCGUGUGCUCUCCUUGGCCGACAGGUCCGGGAAACCCGUUGAACCCCGGUCGUGCUAGGGAUAGGGAAUUGCAAUUAUUUCCCUUGAACGAGGAAUUCCCAGUAAGCGCGAGUCAUUAGCUCGCGUUGAUUACGUCCCUGCCCUUUGUACACACCGCCCGUCGCUACUACCGAUUGAAUGGUUUAGUGAGGUCCUCCGAUUGGACCCGGUCCGGGCGGCGACGUCCGAGCCGGCGUCCGAGAAGACGAUCUAACUUGAUCAUUUAGAGGAAGUAAAAGUCGUAACAAGGUUUCCGUAGGUGAACCUGCGGAAGGAUCAUUA